CAGAUGGCAAAAUGGAUAGAAGGUCAAACACGGGAUCAAGCCAAAACAGAGAUGACAGCAAUACAAUAAGAAACCAAAGUACAAGAGAUCAAUAACCCUUUUGCAAUCAACAGUUACCUGGUCUGAGGAUCAAUAAGAGUCUCUUGUGCACAGGCAGGAAUCCCACCAAUACCAAUCCUUUUCUUUGUUCUUUAGUUGAAAGGCUGAUUGAUUGUUUACAGGAAGAGCUUAUAGUGCAGCUAACUUCAAUCACCUGCACCCAAAAGGCC